UACGUAGGGUGCGAGCGUUAAUCGGAAUUACUGGGCGUAAAGCGUGCGUAGGCGGUUCGCUGUGUCCGAUGUGAAAGCCCCGGGCUUAACCUGGGAAUGGCAUUGGAAACUGGCGGGCUUGAGUGUGGCAGAGGGGGGUGGAAUUCCGCGUGUAGCAGUGAAGUGCGUAGAGAUGCGGAGGAACACCGAUGGCGAAGGCAGGUCUCUGGGCCACUACUGACGCUGAGAAGCGAAAGCAUGGGGAGCGAACAGG
rnacentral:rRNA from 1 species